rnacentral:rRNA from 1 species
GACGAACGCUGGCGGCGUGCUUAACACAUGCAAGUCAAGGGGGCCCGCAAGGGUAACCGGCGAACGGGUGCGUAACACGUGAGCAAUCUGCCUCGAUGUGGGGGAUAGCCGGCCCAACGGCCGGGUAAUACCGCAUACGCUCUCUGGGUGGCAUCACUUGGAGAGGAAACAUUUUUUGGCAUUGAGAGGAGCUCGCGGCCUAUCAGCUAGUUGGUGGGUAAUGGCCUACCAAGGCUUUGACGGGUAGCUGGUCUGAGAGGAUGGCCAGCCACAUUGGGACUGAGAUACGGCCCAGACUCCUACGGGAGGCAGCAGUGGGAAUAUUGGACAAUGGGCGAAAGCCUGAUCCAGCAAUGCCGCGUGAGUGAAGAAGGCCUCGGUUGGUUAA